GUGCCAGCAGCCGCGGUAAUUCCAGCUCCAAUAGCGUAUAUUAAAGUUGUUGUGGUUAAAAAGCUCGUAGUUGAACCUUGGGCCUGGCUGGCCGGUCCGCCUCACCGCGUGCACUGGUCCGGCCGGGCCUUUCCCUCUGUGGAACCCCAUACCCUUCACUGGGCGUGGCGGGGAAACAGGACAUUUACUUUGAAAAAAUUAGAGUGCUCCAGGCAGGCCUAUGCUCGAAUACAUUAGCAUGGAAUAAUAAAAUAGGACGCGCGGUUCUAUUUUGUUGGUUUAUAGGACCGCCGUAAUGAUUAAUAGGGACAGUCGGGGGCAUCAGUAUUCAACUGUCAGAGGUGAAAUUCUUGGAUCAGUUGAAGACUAACUACUGCGAAAGCAUUUGCCAAGGAUGUUUUCAUUAAUCAGGAACGAAAGUUAGGGGAUCGAAGACGAUCAGAUACCGUCGUAGUCUUAACCAUAAACUAUGCCGACUAGGGAUCGGACGGUGUUAUUCAUGACCCGUUCGGCACCUUACGAGAAAUCAAAGUGCUUGGGCUCCAGGGGGAGUAUGGUCGCAAGGCUGAAACUUAAAGAAAUUGACGGAAGGGCACCACCAGGGGUGUAGCCUGCGGCUUAAUUUGACUCAACACGGGGAAACUCACCAGGUCCAGACACAAUAAGGAUUGACAGAUUGAGAGCUCUUUCUUGAUUUUGUGGGUGGUGUGCAUGGCCGUUCUUAGUUGGUGGGGUGACUUGUCUGCUUAAUUGCGAUAACGGACG
rnacentral:rRNA from 1 species